ACUCCUUCAAUGCUAUGGUUUUCCAUGUACUUGGCAUACUACAUACAGAAAAGAGGAAAUACUGAAUAAUUUACAGUUGAACAAGCCAUUAAAUUUGUGACAGAACGAUAAAAUUCUAUUUUUAAACCCAUUCAGCACCUUUAUUGAACCACUAGACUAGUUUCUGUAAGGAAGGACGAAGAGAGGCAACGAGGUUGGCAUAUGCAGCAGUCAAAUCUGGUUGCAAGCAGACCAUCUCCUAAUGCAACAGAUAUAGUUAUAUGAACAACAUUCAACAGAAGUACAAAAAAGGAUCGGUUAUGUCUUCAAUUCCCG
rnacentral:lncRNA from 1 species